GUAUAAUUUCUACACAUUGGUGGCC
rnacentral:piRNA from 1 species